CAUCAGUGCCUAAUACACAGUAAUGCUACCAAAUGAUUAUUUUUAAUACUCAGACAUGCUACCAAGUAACCAAAGGUAAAAUAGAGAAUUCAAGAAAAGGUAAAGUAAUAAUUUUAUAGAGUGAAGAGUUAAAAGGUAAAGAAAAAUCUAAAAUAAAAGUUAAUGAAAACUAAAAACUUAACUAAACAAACUAAGCUGCUACCCUCCAUAGCACCACAUCCUAUAACCCACUCUCUUCCUAUUAUUUAUCAAUGAUCUUCUAAAUCAAACUUCUUGUCUUAUCCCCUCCUACACUAAUGAUACCACCCUGCACUUUUCCAUGUCUUUUUCGUAGAGGUCCAACCCUUCAGGAAGUAAACAGCUCACAGUGGGAAGCCACAAAACACCUGACUUCUGAGCUCUCUAAAAUUUGUCAUUAGGGUAGAGCAAAUUUAGUAUUGUUCAAUGCCUCAAAACUCUAUGCCCCCAUCUAUCAACUCAACACAACCUUCCAGAUAUCUACUCCCUCUUCUUCACUGGCACUCAACUGUCCCCUCUUCUACAAUGAAUAUCCUCAUUCUGUCUUUUACUUAUAUGUAAUUUAGAAUGGAAACUUCAUAUCUCAUCUUUAGUUAAAGCAGCUUCUAUGAGGUCAGGAGUUUUGUGUUGUUUGCCAGUUUUUCUCACGCCCUUCCCCACCCUAAAUGUUAACUCUGUACAGGGGCCUUAUCUGUCCAUAUAUGGAGUUUACUUCAUAUGUAUGGAGGGAUUCCACUUACAUCACUGUUUUAGAGACAGUGGAAUCAAAAGCUUUUUGUCUUAUUGUAUCAUUAAAAUGAUAUGUUAACCAUCUAUUAUUUAUUUAUACAAUAUAUUUUUGUUAUCUGUGUUAAAGAAAAUGUAAGUUGUGUUUUGUUGGAAUGGGAGAAGUUUGGUACGCUUCUUUGUGGUGUUUUGUUUCACCCACUACCUGUGAACAUGGUCAGCCUGGCGGGUUGUCUAAGCCGGCCCACCAAUGUACUGUGGGUUGUUGUGUUGGGUGGUCCUCUGUGCUACAGACGGAGAAUGUAGGGACGCCCUGGACCUCAUGUCGGUUGGUGUGUUGGUUGGUCCUCCGUGCUACAGGUUAGUUGUGUUUAUUUACCCGCCAUGUGCUGUGAUUAGUAUAAUUUGGUGAAGGUUACAAAUAGAGGAUGUAUUAGUAAGAUAGGGUAAUGUACAAGGGAUAUAUUGUUGCCAGACAGAGUUGUGAGGACGCCCUGGACUGGAUGAUAGUUGGGGUGACAUGUCAGGUGUGCUACGGGGAUUCGAAGAGCGUCAGUGUG